UGAACGCUGGCGGCGUGCUUAACACAUGCAAGUCGAACGGAGUUAUAGUAAUUGAUUGAUUAAGCUUGCUUUUGAGAGAUUUUACUAAAACUUAGUGACGGACGGGUGAGUAACGCGUGGGUAACCUGCCGUAUACAGGGGGACAACAGUUGGAAACGACUGCUAAUACCGCAUAAGCGCACAGCAUCGCAUGAUGCAGUGUGAAAAACUCCGGUGGUAUACGAUGGACCCGCGUCUGAUUAGCUAGUUGGUGAGGUAACGGCCCACCAAGGCGACGAUCAGUAGCCGGCCUGAGAGGGUGGACGGCCACAUUGGGACUGAGACACGGCCCAAACUCCUACGGGAGGCAGCAGUGGGGAAUAUUGCACAAUGGGGGAAACCCUGAUGCAGCGACGCCGCGUGAGUGAAGAAGUAUUUCGGUAUGUAAAGCUCUAUCAGCAGGGAAGAAAAUGACGGUACCUGACUAAGAAGCCCCGGCUAACUACGUG
rnacentral:rRNA from 1 species